rnacentral:rRNA from 1 species
AGAGUUUGAUCCUGGCUCAGGAUGAACGCUAGCGGCAGGCUUAAUACAUGCAAGUCGAGGGGCAGCAGGUUUGUAGCAAUACAAAUGCUGGCGACCGGCAAACGGGUGCGGAACACGUACACAACCUUCCUUUAAGUGGAGAAUAGCCCAGGGAAACUUGGAUUAAUACUCCGUAACAUAUAGAAGUGGCAUCACUUUUAUAUUAUAGCUCCGGCGCCUAGAGAUGGGUGUGCGGCUGAUUAGGUAGUUGGCGGGGUAACGGCCCACCAAGCCUGCGAUCAGUAACUGGUGUGAGAGCACGACCAGUCACACGGGCACUGAGACACGGGCCCGACUCCUACGGGAGGCAGCAGUAAGGAAUAUUGGUCAAUGGACGCAAGUCUGAACCAGCCAUGCCGCGUGGAGGAUGAAGGUCCUCUGGAUUGUAAACUUCUUUUAUCUGGGAAGGAAUCCAUUUUUUCUAAAAUGGUUGACGGUACCAGAUGAAUAAGCACCGGCUAACUUCGUGCCAGCAGCCGCGGUAAUACGAAGGGUGCAAGCGUUACUCGGAAUUACUGGGCGUAAAGCGUGCGUAGGUGGUUCGUUAAGUCUGAUGUGGAAGCCCUGGGCUCAACCUGGGAAUUGCAUUGGAUACUGGCGAGCUAGAGUGCGGUAGAGGAUGGCGGAAUUCCCGGUGUAGCAGUGAAAUGCGUAGAGAUCGGGAGGAACAUCUGUGGCGAAGGCGGCCAUCUGGACCAGCACUGACACUGAGGCACGAAAGCGUGGGGAGCAAACAGGAUUAGAUACCCUGGUAGUCC